rnacentral:rRNA from 1 species
UGGGGAAUAUUGCACAAUGGGGGAAACCCUGAUGCAGCGACGCCGCGUGGAGGAUGACGGCCUUCGGGUUGUAAACUCCUUUUGUCAGGGACAAUGGUGAUGGUACCUGACGAAUAAGCCACGGCUAACUCUGUGCCAGCAGCCGCGGUAAGACAGAGGUGGCGAGCGUUGUUCGGAAUUACUGGGCUUAAAGGGCGCGUAGGCGGUGGUUUAAGUCUAGGGUGGAAUGCUACAGCUCAACUGUAGAGCUGCCUUGGAAACUGGAUUACUUGAGUCGGUGAGGGGAAGGUGGAAUUCCAGGUGUAGCGGUGAAAUGCGUAGAUAUCUGGAGGAAGGUCUGUGGCGAAGGCGACCUUCUGGCACUUGACUGACGCUGAGGCGCGAAAGCGUGGGGAGCAA